rnacentral:rRNA from 1 species
UGAACGCUGGCGGUAGGCCUAACACAUGCAAGUCGAACGGCAGCACAGUAAGAGCUUGCUCUUACGGGUGGCGAGUGGCGGACGGGUGAGGAAUACAUCGGAAUCUACUUUUUCGUGGGGGAUAACGUAGGGAAACUUACGCUAAUACCGCAUACGACCUACGGGUGAAAGCAGGGGAUCUUCGGACCUUGCGCGAUUGAAUGAGCCGAUGUCGGAUUAGCUAGUUGGCGGGGUAAAGGCCCACCAAGGCGACGAUCCGCAGCUGGUCUGAGAGGAUGAUCAGCCACACUGGAACUGAGACACGGUCCAGACUCCUACGGGAGGCAGCAGUGGGGAAUAUUGGACAAUGGGCGCAAGCCUGAUCCAGCCAUACCGCGUGGGUGAAGAAGGCCUUCGGGUUGUAAAGCCCUUUUGUUGGGAAAGAAAAGCAGCAGGUUAAUACCCCGCUGUUCUGACGGUACCCAAAGAAUAAGCACCGGCUAACUUCGUG